rnacentral:rRNA from 1 species
GACGUAGGGCGCAAGCGUUGUCCGGAUUUAUUGGGCGUAAAGAGCUCGUAGGCGGCUUGUCGCGUCGACUGUGAAACCCGCGGCUCAACCGCGGCCUGCAGUCGAUACGGGCAGGCUAGAGUUCGGUAGGGGGAGACUGGAAUUCCGGGUGUAGCGGUGAAAUGCGUAGAUAUCCGGAGGAACACCGAUGGCGAAGGCAGCUGCCUGGCCUAGAACUGACGCUGAGGUGCGAAAGCGUGGGGAGCGAACGGGA